UUUUUGAAAAGCACAGUUCUGAUGAGCUGAGAAUAGAGUUGACUGGGUAGGUGAGAGCAGAAGAUUUCAGAAGGCCAAAAAUAAGGGCCACCCAGUAGAAAUCAGCCUUAAUUUUUGAUCAAAUAAAUGCAGUCUUGAAGGGGCGACGUGACUAAAGUGCCUGUCCCUGAGGAAUUGCUUAAAUGAAGUGCUGGAAAAUCCUCUAAGAGAAAUAGUCUGAUCGGUAAGGCGAAACACUCAAUGGAGAAUGAUAAAAAUCUCAGGGAGCGAUUCAUUUUCAUCUGAACUGAGCCACAUCUUCCAAACCGCAGAACCCUUCGGCCAUGUGAAGACUUUAGCCCAAGUUAGGAGCUCAAUUGAAUCCAGAUGUCGCUCCAGCAAUAGCCGUUACUUUCACCACUAAAUCAUUCAGUUCCUGGAGGAAUGAUAGUCAGGCAACUAAAAUGAAUCGCUUGCUCUUAUUGUUAAUCACCCUUUAAUUUUUUUUUUUCUUUCUAUGUGAACUUUCACUUCUUCACAAGUUCUGGAAAAAAUGCACAAAAUGUUCAGUGGUUGUGAAAAUUGGUUGAUUUAGUUCUUUAGUUUCUGAGAUUAAAAUAAUGGUUGUCAAACAAAGUAAAAAAUUUAGUAGCUGCCAUUUCCUCCAAGAAAAACAAGUUUUAUGAAUUCUCUAUUUGUUGUUUAGUGUCUGGAACUCAUUGAGUUCGGUUACGUGUGUUUGCGUGCAUAAUUAGAAUUAGUCUUUCGUCUGAAACUGUGUUUAUCACGCACAUAUGAUCAUUCAUUCUUCAAAAGUGUUGUUUUGAUUGUCCAAAUAUCUUACGUCAAGGGCUAAAUGUUUAAAUCCUCAAAACAGCCUAAGGAAGACUGUAUGAGGAUUGUAAGAGAAGCAAUUUGCUAUGUGUUCAGCAGGAUCCAGCAGUGAAAAUGUUUAUUAUUGUUUUGUUGAUUGAUUGAUUCAUUGGUUUACACCCUAAUAUUCAAAAGUUCAUUCAUAUUGUUAUCCUUAUUAUUUUCUGUCUAAUUUAUUUAUGUAUUUAUUAACACUUGCUCUUAACAUCUGCAAGAUUCCCUUACUUAGUACAUAAGAAAUAAAAGGGUAAGAUUAAAGGGGCAAUUUUAUUCAUUACUACACUCAUAUAAACCAUUUUAUUGCUAUCUGAUUUGACUGUGUAAAACGAACCGGUCAAAACAGCAAGCCAUGAGUUAUUUAUAUGCUUUCCUCUUUUGCUGAAUUGUUUGAUUCAAUCACCAAACCCCAGUUUCUAAGCUCUAUCACAGCUGGCUGGCUAACGUGAAUAAAUGUAUUUACACAGUUGUGGCAGGUUAUCUGAGCGUGUUCUCUGGGAUACAGACAUGAGUAACGGGCGCUGUUACGCUAUCAGACCUCUGUCGUUGACCUCUGGAUGGCCUUAACUGUUGGCCGCUGCUCCGUCUCUCACCGUGGCCAUUCCGACUGUUCAUCUACGUCGAUACGGACUUCACACUCCCCUAACGUGUAGAUCCAAAUCAGUCUACAUGCCUCUCUGCUGCAAUAUAGCAUUUGCUGUUUAUUUUGGCCCUCGCCCAACAGCCAGUUCAGGGAGGGCUGGACAAAGUCAGGCUAAAGGGAUCACGCAUAGCAGUAAUUCAUUCUCCAUAGCGAAUAACCCUUUUUCUGAAAGCUGUGGCGAUAAGUGACCAUAUACAAGACAUGCUGGACUGACAGGAGUCUAUUUGUAAAAUAAAUAAAGGUCGACGUCAGAGCUGUUGAAAUGUGCAGUUGCUUUUGCUGAUAAGUUAGUAUAUAGGCUAGACGCUGGACGUGUGUCUGUGGUUGGUUUAUAAUGGGCAGAAAGGGAAAUUGGAUCAAGAGUGUGUGCGUCUGCCUGUCUGGAGUUGCUCGUCUGUAUUAGAUUUAUGUUAAAUUGUAACAAUAAGUCUCUUUCUUCAUUUCUGUCUGUGUGACGAAAAAGCAAAGCUUCUCUUCCUGUGUGUAUUGUUUAAUGGGGCACCGACAUCAUCUCUUGCUAAGCAGGGCUCGACUGAGCAUGGGAACCUGUCACAUAAAAUGAGCUCUGGGAUUUCUUCACAGUGGGGUGGAGGUCGU
ensembl:lncRNA